AUAAACACAGGUCGGCGCAUGCGCAGUAGAGGGGGGGAACAGGGGGGAACGUUCAGUCUGCCACAGGGGAACGUUCAGUCCGCCACACCGAUAUAAAGGCAAGACUCCCGCCGACAAGCAACAAGCCGACAACCCAACUCGACUCAACUCAACGUGGCCGUUUUCGGGAAACGGAGAGAAAAAUAACCCUUAGAGGAAGGAAGGGCAAGGUGUGAAGACCCAAGAAGCGGUGCAAAGCGUCACGGGGCUACGGAAGAAGAAGAGGAGGGCGUUAUUUCUCACAAGAAGUGGUACCGGCCAUGCUGGGAGGAGGACAGCGCCAAGUGACAGCACCAACUCUGUGUGUCCUGACAUCCACUGCUGGUGCUGAAGUGAGGGUCUGAGGCAGGCAGCACAGGGCCAGGACACAGCACCAACUCUGUGUGUCCUGACAUCCACUGCUGGUGCUGAAGUGAGGGUCUGAGGCAGGCAGCACAGGGCCAGGACACAGCACCAACUCUGUGUGUCCUGACAUCCACUGCUGGUGCUGAAGUGAGGGUCUGAGGCAGGCAGCACAGGGCCAGGACACAGCACACAACUCUGUGUGUCCUGACAUCCACUGCUGGUGUUGAAGUGAGGGUCUGAGGCAGGCAGCACAGGGCCAGGACACAGCACACAACUCUGUGUCCUGACAUCCACUGCUGGUGCUGAAGUGAGGGUCUGAGGCAGGCAGCACAGGGCCAGGACACAGCACACAACUGUCUCCUGACGUGCACCGCUGGUGCUGAAGUGAGGGUGUGAGACACUUGCUGUGCUCAGCCCUCAGUGUCCUUGCUCCUUGGUGGAUCCUUCCCUCACCUGCUUGCUUGGUCCUUGAGUGUAGCAUUGAGGAAGACUUUCUGCCCCCUCACCCACAAGGCUGGCCUGCAGCCUGAGUGGCCAGGAGCAGCAGAGCAGACUGUCACUGGUGUGGGGACCAAGGGCUGAUCAGAAGGACCACCACCACCUUGCUGCUGCCUUCUCCAGCCAUAAAGGAAAGGGAAAGGUUGGGUGUCAGGACUGUAGCACAAUUUGAUAGUUGAGAGGAAGUUCAUUAGACGCAGCUUUGCACACACUGGUCAAGGAAACCAUGAGAGCCAAGAGUGUGAGAAAAGCCUCCCUGACAAGGGUGGCGGUAACUAACACACUCACUCACUCUGCUGAAAGAAAUCAUGGUUGUCAAGUCUGUGGGGAAAGUUUCAGUAAGAAGGGUAAGCUCAAGACACACAUCCUUACACACACUGGCAAAAAAUGUCAUGAAUGUACAGUGUGUGGGAAAAGAUUUAAUAAGAAGAGUGCCCUCAACAGACACAUCCUUAUACACACUGGUGAAAGAAAUCA